UACGUAGGUGGCAAGCGUUAUCCGGAUUUACUGGGUGUAAAGGGCGUGUAGGCGGGACUGCAAGUCAGAUGUGAAAACCACGGGCUCAACCUGUGGCCUGCAUUUGAAACUGUACUUCUUGAGUGCUGGAGAGGCAAUCGGAAUUCCGUGUGUAGCGGUGAAAUGCGUAGAUAUACGGAGGAACACCAGUGGCGAAGGCGGAUUGCUGGACAGUAACUGACGCUGAGGCUCGAAAGCAUGGGUAGCAA
rnacentral:rRNA from 1 species